UUCGGAUGAACUUUUCGUAAUCAUGCUCAUUUUCUAGUGGGAUGAGUUUUCGCAGGAGGGUAGGACGAUUAGGCACGUACCCUCCAAAGGGGUACUGCCCAAAAUUUAUAGCAGCAUGCUGCCCUGAUGCAAUCCAGAUUAUUGUUGUUUGGAGCUCAAUAUCAGACUUGACAAAGUUAGGCUCAGAGUAGAAGUGAUCAACAUAAGAUUCUACAUAUUCUUUUAUGGCUGACCAAAUGAGGAGCCCGUCUGAAGCAUAGGGGUAGUCUUCUAUCACAAGUCUCACGCCACAAGGCAUUGAAGGAUCCUCCACUGCCAUUCCCCUGAAAGUUUCAUCACAAGUAACAUCUUUUUGAUCAUAUAUUCUACAAGAAAGCUGGCAAUAAGAUUACAGCAAGUGAUGUUUAGAAACAGUAAUACACUAAAUGCAUGAAAAAACAAAAGGGUUUAUGAAAUUAAAAUGCAUUACAGUUUUACCUGCGAACAAGAUCUGCUGGCAAUGCCUCCAUGUCAAACCGCCACAUAUUCUGGUAAGCUGCAGAGCUAAUCUCCAUGGAAUACUUUCCAGGACUGUAACAAGUCUCAAUUAUUCCUCCUCCAUUUAUUAAGCUUUGCCGUGCAAUUGCAUUAAUUUCAAGAGUAUAGCGCAUAUGAGGAUGGAGCAAUUUGUAAAUGGGGUGCAUUGCACUAAGCUGUCUGUGAGUUGCAAUUAUAUAAGUCUCCAUGCAAGCAUGAGUUCUCAACCUGAGAAUUCAAAAAAACACACAGGUAAGAGAUGCGCAUGCCUUGAUUUUUAAAAUUUCAUCAAGUACAAUCCAUUCUUCUACCAGUGAUUUACUAGCUGAUGGACACCAGCAUCAUUUGAGCAGACAUGAGCUUUGGCUAGUUUCCAAAUCCAAUGUGUUGUGGCAUCAUGCCCAUGAGUGUAAACACGUUUUUCUCCAGGUGAAGAGGGUGAUUGAGGAAGUGAAAGCUCAAUAGCUAUUGGCCUUAGCAUAUUAGCUCGGUCAUGAAAGAAAACAGUCCUUGAUGCAUAAGCUUUUCUCCCUGGCAAGGAGUUCAUCUUCUCCAUAAAUGGCAAAAGCAUAUCAUGGUGAUCGAGUAUAAAUAACCUAUUCUCUUCAGUUGCCUGUAUCAUUAAGUAUCAGAAACCAGAAUUAGAGGAAUCCAGUUUUUCAGCGCAAACUGGUUUCAAUUUUUUUUUUAAUUUUGUGGAAUUUCAACCAGAAAAAAGAAGAUGAAAAUCAAAGGCAUGAAUCACCACAUGUUUAUUCUUUCUCCAGAUUCAGAACAAUGGAAACAGUUUUCUGUGAAUGUAGUAGGAAUGCAGCGAAUAAUGCAUGAUACAGGUACCUUUUCCACACUCA